AGACCUAUUUGGGGGACAAGUUGUUGCAAGGCGGACUUAGAGGGACCUCAGAACUCCCACCUGGGCCCGCUUGGUGUUCCGGCUUGGGUCCGGUUUCUCAAAGUUCCCAGGGGUUGGGGAGGAAGGAGGUGUUAUUGUUUAGUGGGUGCAGAGCUCUGUUGAGGAUCGUGUCAGUCCGGGGUUCUUCAGGGAAAUGGAACCGAUGGGAGACAGACGUGCACACGCACACACAGAGGGAGACGCACACACACACACACAGAGGGAGAUAAACACACGCAUGCACACACACAGAGGGAGAUAAACACACGCACGCACACACACAGGGGGAGAUGCACACACAUGCUCACACACGCAGAGGGAGACGCACACAUACGCACACACGCACAGAGGGAGAUGGACACACACACAGGGAGAUGCACACACACACACACACAGAGGGAGAUGGACACACACAGAGGGAGAGGCACACACAUGCUCACACACACACAGAGGGAGGCAGACACACGCGUACACACACACACAGAGGGAGACACACACACACAGGGAGAUGGACACACACACAGAGGAAGGCAUACACACGUGCACACACACAGAGGGAGACACACACACAUACACACAGAGGGAGAUGCAUGCACACACACAGAGGGAGAUGCACACACAGGGAGAUGCACACUCACACACAGAGGGAGAUGGACACACACACAGGGAGACGCACACACACGUUCACACACACAGAGGGAGGCGCGCACACAC
rnacentral:lncRNA from 1 species